rnacentral:lncRNA from 1 species
AUUGUAGAUUAACUGCAAGAGGACUACAGAUUAAUGAUCAAUGCUGUGAAACAACCGUUGUACUCUAAAAGCUUAAGCUGUUAAAGAACGGUGUUUAAACAUUUUUAUAUUUAAAUGGGAGGAAAUUAAUAUACAUAUUUAAAUGGGAGGAAAUUAAUAUACUAGAAGUUAGCUUGAUAUGACUCGAACUCAGGACCUCCUACUCUGAUACCAUGUGAAAUAAUCGUUGUACUCUAAAACUAAAGCUGUUAGAGAACGGUGCUUAAAUAUUUUUAUAUUUAACAAAUGCAUGCAAAAUUGUGCAGGAAUAUGUUUUU